AUGAGGGCCCAGAUGCAUCUCCUCAGCUUUCUGCUGUUCUGGCUCUCAGGUGCCUGCGGUGAUAUUCAGGUGACCCAGAAUCCAUCUGUGUCUGCAUCUCUGGGAGAAAAAGUCACCAUCACUUGCCAGAGCAGUCAGGACAUUAAAAAUUAUAUGAACUGGUAUCAACAGAAACCAUGGAAAACUCCUAGACUACUAAUCUAUUAUGCAACAACUUUGCAGUCUGGGGUCUCUUCCCGGUUCAGUGGCAGUGGAUCUGGCACAGAUUUCACUCUCACCAUCAGCAGCAUGGAGGCUGAAGAUGCUGCCACUUACUACUGUCAACAGGAUUAUAAUUAUUGUCCCACAGUGAUUCAGGCCAGAACAUAA